GAAACAGAAACAGCACAUUUUUUUGUGUGAAGCAGUGCUUUGUUGUAGAGAAAGAAGCAGGGGAGCUACUCAACUGCAGAAGUCCCCAGGAGGCCAUCGGAAGUGAGUACACAGGGAGGCGGGGUGGGGCCUGCUGUGAUCCCAGCACUUAAAAAGGCAGAGGCAGGAAGAUCUGCCUGGCUGAGGGCAACAGCAGACCUGUGGCCUCUUGUGCCGUUUCCCACCGUCAAGCCCCUGAGUGACAUGACCAGAGAGAGGAGUGUGGGUAAUGAGUGACUGGAUCAGUGUCGAAGGGAACAGUUUCCGCAUCUUUACUUAUGGAAGGGUCUUAAACAAGCUCACUGUGUAGCGGUUUGCACAGCCAGAUUUAAUUACUACUGCCUGUCUCCUCACAAGAACACCUAAAAAUGCAAGCCCAGGGUGUUUAAAAUAAACUUGCAUAUUCUGUUACAGUUUAAGAAAACUAUUGCAAAGAAAUUUAAGAAGUAUUUACUUUAUGAAUAACCCACAGCUACUUGACCAUAUAAAAUUAGUAGCUGAAAAGGGGGAAAUUAUUCAGACCAAAGCCCCAACUUCUUCAGAUAGUUGGGGUUUCAGUGUUUGUGAUUGUAAAGGUGUGAAAGCUGAUUCUUCCCUGUUAACAUAAUAGAUGCCUGUGCAGAACCCAACUGAGGACAGGAAAAAAAUGUUUUUGGACAGUUUGCAAAAACUCCUUUAAAAAAAAAGUUCAUGUUUUAUUUUGAGACGGGAUCUCACUAUGUAGCUCUGGUUGGCCUGGAACUCACUAUGUAGACAGCUCUGCCACCCCAGGGGUGCAGGGAGUAAAGGUAUUUGCCAUCCUGUUUGUCUAUAAAGGCCACAUUGCUCGUUUGUUUGUUUGUUUGUUUGUUUGUUUUAGUUUUUUGAGACAUGGUUUCUUGUAUAGCACUGGUUGUCCUGGAACUCACUAUAAACCAGGCUGGUCCCAGAUCUGCCUGCUCUGCCUCUCAGGAAGGGUUUUUUAGAGGAAUUCUAUGGAGGGAAGGAGACGGGAAAUGGAACUAGGAAUGGGGUUUAGAGACAAUAUCAUGUUUUUUCUCAUGUAGAGUCUGCAUUUAAUAGUAAAGAUAGGUGAGUCACAGGGCUGGAGAGAUGGCUCAGUGAGUAAGAACACUUGUUGCUCUUGCAAAAGACCUGAGUUUGAGUCCAUGCGCUCAUUUGGUGGCUCACAACCAUCUGUAACUCUGUUCCAGGGGAUUUAACAAGCACACAUGUAUGUAGUGCACAUAGACACAUGCAAGCAAAGCAUUCAUACAUGUAAAAUAAAAUCUAAAAACAU
rnacentral:lncRNA from 1 species